rnacentral:rRNA from 1 species
CGAUGGUUGUCGUCAGCUCGUGUCGUGAGAUGUUGGGUUAAGUCCGCAACGAGCGCAACCCUUGUCUUUAAUUGUCCAUCAUUCAGUUUGGGCACUUUAAAGAGACUGCCGGUGUUAAACCGGAGGAAGGUGGGAUGACGUCAAGUCCUCAUGGCCUUUAUGCCCAGGGCUACACACGUGCUACAAUGGGUGGUACAAAGAGAUGCAAUCUCGCAAGAGCAAGCAAAACCUCAAAAAAGCCAUCCUCAGUUCGGAUUGGAGUCUGCAACUCGACUCCAUGAAGUCGGAAUCGCUAGUAAUCGCGGAUCAGCACGCCGCGGUCGAAUACGUUCCCGGGCCUU